GUACCUCCGACCUAAAUACGCCAAGGCUCCAUAACUAAGCAGAGAGUUUACAUAACUGCACCAGUUGGUGGCGGUAAUGCUCCACGUCGGAAGCCAACCGCCAAUAAACGUGAAUGAAGAAGAAGAAGAAGAAGAAAGAAGGUUUUGGAAAGACACAAGCUUGUUGUGCUUAACUUAUAAAAAUUGGAAAUACUGUGCUAACGCGUGACGCUGGGAACCUGUCAGGGGGAGCUGGUUUUACACCUAUUCUGGUCUACUGUUCUACAAUUCCUCCGUCUGUUACUACUACCUCUACUUCAAAACAGCAACACCACUGACGUCAAGGAAAAAGACAAGACGAGGGGAAUCCUGUGUCCGUGUAAGUUACAGUCCUUCAGUGUGGAAACCCAGUGCUUACAUACACUUGACAGUGGAACAACUUCUACAGUGAAUAACCGCCAGAGUGGAAAACCGAUGCACCAUUGGAAACCGCCGACUGCCAAUGCAUCACCGCUACACCAAUGGACCACCGUCUAAAGAGUGCAUCACGUCGCUGACCAGUGAACAGCCUUCUGCUGCCAGUGACCAAGACUCAAAGACUCCACUCACACCACAACCCAACAGAGAGAAGACACUUCACCUGGGGGCCUGUAGGAUAAAGCUUGAAGAAAAGAGGGGGAAAAAACAAGCUCAAGGAAAAAAACAGGCCAAACAAAUCUUCUGCCUCCCACUUAAAAAAAAAGAAGAAAAAAACUGGAAAAAAAGGUUCAGAAGGUUCUGCCUCCCCCUUCAUAUCCUCUCUUGACAUUUAGGAUCCUUUUAGCCGCUCUCCAUGUCUAGAAACUGUCCCGAUCAUGCCGUCUUGGACUGCUGAAGUGCCUUUCGUCCAAUAGAUCUUGGACUGCUGCUACUGUGGGUGGGGGAGUUCUGGACUUGGACUGUGCGUUGUCCCUGACUGCAAUUGGGUGUUGUGCCUUCAGUCGACUUCGAGUAUGAGUACUGCAGUGAACGUUUUCCUCUGCAUCCUAGUGACAUUGUCUCUUGCUUGUAACGCAGGGUCUUUUACUGGCUUUGUUGACCACUGAAGGAACUGUGCACCGUUGUGCUUUCAGUUAGGUCUUCGGGACUAGCCUGAUGAUGUCUGCAAUGUUCAGAGAACCUGGAUCACCAAUGUCAGUCAGUAGAGUAGAGUAGAGUAGAGUAGAGUAGAGUAGAGUAGAGUAGAGAAGAGUUGUAGAGGCUUGACUUAAGUUAGUGGUUCUGGGCGGCGGAGGCAUUGUCAUGCGCAGGGCCUGUCCUGAUGCCUGCUGGAGGUUCCCGCGGUGCGGUCCGGUCCACGGUUCCUUCGGCUACCUUGGGGUGGGUGGACAACCAGGUCAGUGGAAUGCCUUGCUGCGCAGGUGGGAGGUGGUCUCGCUGUGCGGAGGAGGGCAUUCACUGCAGUGCUCGUCCGGCCUCAGCGGGGGGCAAGGCACCCGGUUGCAGUCUGGGGCGGCGCGUGGGCCGGCUCCGGGCUCCACUGCCAACAGUGGCAGCGGUCCAAGAACUGUUGAACGAAGGGUGCUUCGGUCGUCUGGGAAGGCUGGUUAGGGUAGUUUCAUGGACAUGGAAACCGGCUGAGGGAUUCCUGAGUGUCGGGAGGGGAAUGGGGGCAGUGCCACUCCUGGCCUCAGAGGGGAGGUGGGACAACCAGGACCUCACAGACCGGGUUGGCUGCAGCAGCGUACGCAUGUACACCAGACCUCAGAAGGGAGGUGGGACAGCCAUGAUCUCAUGGAUGCACAGAAGAGAGGGGACUUCAGGGACUUCAGGGCUUCGUCGGGAUUGUAAGCAACACUGGACCACAGGAGCCAGGCGAAUCACCAGGCCCUGCAGCUGAUCGAGGGCCUAAAGGCGCACAGGGAGCCAAAGGGGUCGAAGGAGAAGAGGGACCCGCAGGACAACAGAUGUUCUACACUGCAGCUGGAAUGAACCCUGUCAGAUCCUUCGUCCUGCUACGUUCAAGAGGAACUUCAUGAACCACUGGGUAAGAAAAAUAUGCACAAAUUAUGCAUAAAAAACAUGCUCAUAGUCUCGCAUUGUUUGUAAACUACUUUCAAUUCAGAUAUAAUAGAUGUAAUAGUGUUGCAUUGCUUUGGUCUUUUAUAGAAUGUGCAAUGCACUGCAUGUAUUUCUCAACUGCUCACAUGUAACUAUAAUAUCGUUUCUGUUCUUCCCUCCUCGUGCCUGCGCCCGUCUGUGCGUCCGUGCGUUCGUUUGUGCCUGCGUGCGUCCGUGUCUCCGUCCAGCCGGCUGUGCGUGCGUCCGUCUCUGCAUCCGUGCCUACGUCUAGCAGUCCGUGCCUCCGUCUGGCCGGCUGUGCGUCCGUCCGUGCGUCAGUCGGUCUGUGCGUCCGUGCCUACGUCUGGCCGGCCGUGCGCCCGUCUGUUCCCACGUCUGUGCCGCCGUCUGGCCGGCCGUGCGUCCGUCUGUGCGUCCGUGCCUACGUUUGGCCGGCCGUGCGUCCGUCUGUGCGUCCGUGCCUACGUUUGGCCGGACGUGCAUCCGUCUGUGCCCACGUCCGUGCCUCCGUCUGGCCGGCUGUGCGUCCGUCCGUGCGUCAGUCGGUCUGUGCGUCCGUGCCUACGUCUGGCCGGCCGUGCGCCCGUCUGUUCCCACGUCUGUGCCACCGUCUGGCCGGCCGUGCGUCCGUCUGUGCGUCCGUGCUUCCGUCUGUGCGUCCGUGCCUACGUUUGGCCGGACGUGCAUCCGUCUGUGCCCACGUCUGUGCCUCCGUCUGGCCGGCUGUGCGUGCGUCCGUCCGUCCGUCCGUCCUUGCGUCAGUCCGUCUGUGCGUCCGCGUCUACGUCUGGCCGGACGUGUGUCCGUCUGUGCUUCCGUCUGUCCGUGCCUCCGGCCGGCCAGCUGUCCGUCCGUGUGUGCGUGCCCACGUCUGUGUGUGCAUGCCUGCGUCUGUCUGUCCAUUCGUCCGUCUGUCUGUGCCUCAGUCCGUGCCUACGUCCGGCUGGGCUCAUGUCUGUGCGUCCGUGCGUCUGUCAGUCUGUUUGCCCACAAAAACAAAAAAACAGUAGGGGGUCUACCAAAAAAAUGUUUGAGUGUGUCUGUAUUUGGUCUCCUAUAGAAUUGACUUAAAAUACUGCUGAUGGUGUUCAAAGCUUUAAAUAGUCUUCCUCCCUGUUACAUCUCUGAUAUGCUCUCUUUUUAUGCCCCUGACCGAGCUCUCAGAUCCGCUGAUGCCACGCUGGGGAUGCUAAGGAUUCCUACCCUUCCACCAAAGGAAAUUGGUGAAGCCGCCUUCGAUAUGUACGCGCCCAAGAGAUAGAACUCUGCCUCUUGGCAUCAGAGACACUACCUCCAUCAACUCGCACAACUCUUUCUUAGCUGCUCAGGCCCUACAGGCUCCACAUGUCGUGCCCUGAUGUGCAAAAUCUGUAGUCAUCUCUCUUCCUUUUGAUCCGUGCGUGAUUACAAAGCGUGUGUGUGUGUGUGUGUGUGUGUGUGUGUGUGUGUGUGUGUGUGUGUGUGUGUGUGUGUGUGUGUGUGUGUGUGUGUGUGUGUGUGUGUGUGUGUGUGUGUGUGUAUGAUUACAAAGCGUGUGUGUGUGAUUACAAAGCGUGUGUGUG